UGCCAGCCGCCGCGGUAAUACGGAGGGAGCAAACGUUGUUCGGAUUUACUGGGUGUAAAGGGUGCGUAGGCGGCGAAGUGUGUCAGAGGUGAAAGCUCACGGCUCAACCGUGGAAUUGCCUUUGAAACUGCUUCGCUUGAGUCCGAGAGAGGAUGAUGGAAUUCCUGGUGUAACGGUGAAAUGUGCAGAUAUCAGGAAGAACACCAGUGGCGAAGGCGGUCAUCUGGCUCGGUACUGACGCUGAGGCACGAAAGCGUGGGGAGCAAACAGGAUUAGAUA
rnacentral:rRNA from 1 species